rfam:Felis catus isolate Cinnamon breed Abyssinian chromosome F1, whole genome shotgun sequence.
GCCCGGGUGGCUCAGUCGGUUAAGCGUCCGACUUCGGCUCAGGUCAUGAUCUCAUGGUUCGUGGGUUCGAGCCCCACGUCGAGCU